CACGUAGGGGGCAAGCGUUGUCCGGAAUCAUUGGGCGUAAAGAGCUCGUAGGCGGCUCAGUAAGUCGGGUGUGAAACCCUCAGGCUCAACCUGGGGACGCCACCCGAUACUGCUGUGGCUAGAGUCCAGUAGGGGAGUGUGGAAUUCCCGGUGUAGCGGUGAAAUGCGCAGAUAUCAUUUGGAACGCCAAUGGUGAAAACAGGUAGCUGGGAGUGUGCUGACGCUGAGACACGAAAGCCAGGGAAGCAAACGGG
rnacentral:rRNA from 1 species